GCAUCGGUGAGGAAUCCGCACCUUCCCUCGCCCGGCUCGCAGGCUACAGCAGGAGUGGAGAUGGCACUGAUUGACGCGGUUGCUAACAGCAUUCACAUCCCUCUGUGGUGAUUAUUUGGAGGGGCAUCAGAUACUGUGACCACGGACAUAAUGGUUGCUCCAGCCAGCAAAUUGAAAGAAAUAUUACUUUGUUCACGACCUUAUAUAUGUUGAAUCAGCCGCUAAAAUUGUUCUUGAAGCAUAUGGAUGCAGUUUUGUUGAUCUGUACACACCUCAUUUACUGUCGGAAGAUCCAGUGUAUGGUGGCUAUGAAGGUUUGGCUUCAUGAGAUCAUAGGAGGAAAUGUGGUUACCAGAAAUGAGACAAUCAGUGAUGAUUCCGGUGAGGACCCAACCUGCAGUAGGAGCUAGGCUUGCCGACCGAUGAAAAAUGCCCUGGAUGUUGAGUAAAUGGCUGGUGGCUUGGGAGAAUUGCAGGAGCCGUGGUGCAGAGUUUGUGGACUAAUCUUCCCAUAUGCAGUGGGUGCGUCUUGUUUCUGAUGUUCAAAACUUCAAUUAGUUUUUCCCCUGUGUCUCUGGUGCUCUCUUUCCUGGAUGAGGUGUAGUAGGUGAAUUUUCACGUUUGGCUCCUGAUCACCUAGAAUUCGUAAAAGACAUGACAUAUCCUACUGUUUGAUGGAAAACAACUCCCACCAAGAGAUCUGCAGUUUUUUUUUCUAUUUGCGUGUGAACUUUUGAAAUAUUUAUUUUUUCAGCAUUUGCAGACU